UCCAGACUCCUACGGGAGGCAGCAGUAAGGGAUAUUGGUCAAUGGGGGAAACCCUGAACCAGCAACGCCGCGUGAGGGAAGACGGUUUUCGGAUUGUAGACCUCUGUCCUCUGUGAAGAUGAUGACGGUAGCAGAGGAGGAAGCUCCGGCUAACUACGUGCCAGCAGCCGCGGUAAUACGUAGGGAGCGAGCGUUGUCCGGAUUUACUGGGUGUAAAGGGUGCGUAGGCGGCUAUGCAAGUCAGUAGUGAAAUCCAUGGGCUUAACCCAUGAACUGCUAUUGAAACUGCACAGCUUGAGUGAAGUAGAGGUAGGCGGAAUUCCCGGUGUAGCGGUGAAAUGCGUAGAGAUCGGGAGGAACACCAGUGGCGAAGGCGGAUUGCUGGACAGUAACUGACGCUGAGGCGCGAAAGCGUGGGGAGCAAACAGGAUUUGAUACCCGCGUAGC
rnacentral:rRNA from 1 species